GGCUUGGUGGUACAGUGGUUAAGUGUUUGGUUGCUAACCAAAAGGUCGGCAGUUCAAAUCCGCCAGCCG
rnacentral:tRNA from 1 species